rnacentral:rRNA from 1 species
GAUUUCUGGUAUGGUGCGCCUGAUCGACUGGGGCAACUCAGCCUGUAUUGGUGUGCGCCUGCCUUCUAUGGAGUGUCUCCUUAGCUGCACUUAACUGGGCGGUUAAGGUCAAAAGCCUCCAUCUUUUACUUUGAAAAAAUUAGAGUGUUUCAAGCAGGCGUUUUGCUAUGAAUACAUUAGCAUGGAAUAAUGAGUUAGGACUUCGGUUCUAUUUUGUUGGUUUCUAGGACUGAAGUAAUGAUUGAUAGGGAUAGUUGGGGGUGCUAGUAUUCAGCGGCCAGAGGUGAAAUUCUUGGAUUCGCUGAAGACUAACUUAUGCGAAAGCAUU